GGAAGUAAAAGUCGUAACUAGGUUUCCGUAGGUGAACCUGCGGAAGGAUCAUUAUUGUAUAACCGAGGUGCGAGGGCUGUCGCUGACCCGAAAGGUCGUGCACGCCCGAGUGCCCUCACACACAUCCAUCUCACCCCUAUGUGCACCACCGCGUGGGUCCCCCUUUGGCUUGUUCGGAGGGGGGCUUACGUUUUCACACAAACUUUGUAUGCAGUGUAGAAUGUAUUUUUUGUUUUUGCGAUCACGCAAUCAAUACAACUUUCAACAACGGGUCUCUUGGCUCUC
rnacentral:misc_RNA from 1 species